UACGGAGGGUGCGAGCGUUAAUCGGAAUUACUGGGCGUAAAGCGCGCGUAGGCGGUUUGCUAAGUCGGAUGUGAAAUCCCCGGGCUCAACCUGGGAACUGCAUCCGAUACUGGCCGACUCGAGUGCGAGAGAGGGAUGUGGAAUUCCAGGUGUAGCGGUGAAAUGCGUAGAUAUCUGGAGGAACACCGGUGGCGAAGGCGACAUCCUGGACCGGUAUUGACGCUGAGGCGCGAAAGCCAGGGGAGCAAACGGG
rnacentral:rRNA from 1 species